UGGCGACUGUCAUAACGAGCAGUGAACAACACGAACAGUAGUUUAGGUUAUGAAACCAAUGUGCUUAUUCACAGUGAAUACACUUGAUAAUCUGUAUCUCUCCCAUUGUCUUAAUCAAUAUUUUGGAUAAAAUGAUGAGCGUACGGUUAAUAAACAACUCUCUUAUUCGUUUUGUGUUGAGUAACCUGAUUAUUAAACCAGAGUUGCUCUACUCUGGCAUAGCAGAAAUGAGAACGGAUGCUCGCUAGCUAAGCACACCAACAGGUGUUGCUUGGUGUAAGAAGGCAUUAUGGUACUGGAAGCGCCUUCGUCACAAGUACCGACAGACGUUGGCCAUCAUUUUGUGGGUUAUGGCUAGGGAUGACAAUCCCAUGAUUUCGGGAUUGCCAAAUUUCUAUCUCGGGAUUGGUUCCGGGAUUGAGAAAAAAAAGUUUUAGAAAGAAAAACAGACAGUGAACAAUAGGAAACAAACUGGGUCGGCAGGAGGACUGGAAUGAAUUGGGCAAUAUUGGCCGGGAGGGACACUAUGGUGCUGUCUGAUGUGGGGAUCACCGAGACCUGACACCUGGAGUGAGCACUGAGGCCGAAUCUUCUCUAUCUGCCAUUGCCCUAGCUGCUCCAGCCAAGAUAAUUUUGGCCGCCACCGCAUCUGUAAAUGCUUCAGCCAUGCCUGUAUUUGCUUAGGAUGCAGCACGGGUCUUAGGAUGGGAUUGGAGUAUCGAGUGAGCUUCCUGUAUAGUCAAUCUGAGAGCUUCCUGUUCGACUGAAAAUAAGCAAACGCCUCGUGUGGCUUGGUCCUUAUUGGUAGUUGCUAACACUGUUAUUUUUAUUCUAUAACUGCUAGGCUAGGAUUGGAGUUUUGUCAUUCGUCAUGAAAGACAGAAGUAUCAAUAAAUCUGUGGUUUUUUGACAAUUUCUUACUCUUUUUCAUUCAAGACAAAAGUUUCUUUAUUUCAAAAAAUUCAUUUAACAAAAUAAAACAUGCUUUGCUCAAUAAAUUAUUGUAAUACAAAAAAAACUUAAUAACCAUUGUGUUACAACAUCAUCCUAGAACCUAAAAUACCGUAUGUAAAUGAAAAUAAAUGUUAAAUUGUCUAAAAUAAAUGAAAGUGUUGAUUUAAAUUUUAAA